rnacentral:misc_RNA from 1 species
GAUGAAGAACGCAGCGAAAUGCGAUAAGUAAUGUGAAUUGCAGAAUUCAGUGAAUCAUCGAAUCUUUGAACGCACCUUGCGCCCUUUGGCUAUUCCGAAGGGCAUGCCUGUUUGAGUAUCGUGAACACCUCAACUCUCAUGGUUUGCCAUGAUGAGCUUGGACUUUGGGGGUUUUGCUGGCCUUUGAUCGGCUCCUCUCAAACGGAUCAGCUUUCCAGUGUUUGGUGGCGUCACGGGUGUGAUAACUAUCUACGCCUGUGGUUUUCUGCCAGAUAACCUUCAGCGAUGGAGGUUCGCUGGGGCUCAUAAAUGUCUCUCUUCAGUGGAGACAGCUUUUUGGACGUUUGAUCUCAAAUCAGGUAGGACUACCCGCUGAACUUAAGCAUAUCAAUAAGCGGAGGA